CAGCAGCCGCGGUAAUUCUCAGCAGCCCGCGGUAAUUCCAGCUCUGUAAGCGUAUACCAAAGUUGUUGCAGUUAAAACGCUCGUAGUCGGAAUUUGGUAGGUGACGCAGGGUGUCUUUGCGGACAGAUCUGUAUCAACUGCCUUUGUGGAGGGGGGCUUAGUGGAGCUUUAUUGCCUCACUAAGUCGCUGCCACCGUUUACUGUGAAAAAAUUGGAGUGUUCAAAGCAGGCGUUUGCCUUGUACACAUUAGCAUGGAAUAAUAGAAUAGGACCUGGUUCUGUUUUGUUGGUUUGUGAGAAUUAGGUAAUGAUUAAGAGGGACGGUUGGGGGCAUUUGUAUUCUGCCGUCAGAGGUGAAAUUCUUAGAUUGGCGGAAGACAAACAGCUGCGAAAGCGUCUGCCAAGGACGUUUUCAUUGAUCAAGAACGAAAGUAAGGGGAUCGAAGACGAUCAGAUACCGUCGUAGUCUUUACUAUAAACGAUGAGGACUGGGGAUCGGGCAGCGCUGUUUUAUGGCCUGCCCGGCACCCUUCGGGAAACCAAAGUGUUUGCUUUCUGGGGGGAGUAUGGUCGCAAGGCUGAAACUUAAAGGAAUUGACGGAAGGGCAUCACCGGGUGUGGAGCCUGCGGCUUAAUUUGACCCACCACGGG
rnacentral:rRNA from 1 species